GUCUCUUCAGAGACAUCCGUUAAAAUUGGAACGAUACAGAGAAGAUUAGCAUGACCCUAUGCAAGGAUAACACGUAUAAAUAGUAAAAAAAAAAACAUAUCA